UAAAAGCAUUAAUUUUUAGUACACCCUGCUCAAUGAAUCUUAAAUAGCCGCAAAAUUUGUGCUAAGGUAGCAUAAUCAUUUGCCUAAUAAUUGUAGGAUAGUAUGAAAGGGAUAACAUGUAAUCUUCUUUAUCAAGAAAAGUUUUCUAACUUAUAAAGUAAGCAAAAAUUCUUACAUGACAAGGGGGACGAUAAGACCCUAUCAAACUUCACCACAAGGUUAAGCUGGGGCGGCAGGAAAUUAAAACUUUACUCAAUGUACCACAGCAAAACCUAGAUACUAGAUAAAACAAGUUACUGUAGGGAUAACAGCACGAUCACCCUUUAAAGAUCUUAUAAAAGGGGUGGCUUGUGACCUCGAUGUUGAAUUAAAGAUCUUUUUGAGGCAAUCCUCAAAAAAGAAAGUCUGUUCGACUUUUAAACCAUU
rnacentral:rRNA from 1 species